rnacentral:lncRNA from 1 species
UGAGCAACAACAGAAUAAAAAGUGCGGAAGACGAAAUUCAACAAUUUAACUAAAAAAAACAAUUUAACUAAAUACUAGUACAAAAUCCAAAAUACAACUCCACCUAGAACUGAUGUCACAAUGUCACGGACCAUCUAGGAAUACUACAAAUAGGGUGUGAACAAAGAAAAUACAUGUCUGUUUCUGAAGUAAAUAAGAACAGAAAGAAAUAGGACAGACAGGGGCGCUAAGGCCUGCAGACGUCUGCAGGACUACCUCGGGUCUCCGCUGGACUGAAGGCAGCAACCUCACUAUGGUCCAAAUGCUCCAGUACUGGGAUCUGCACACAGUUUAGAGUGUUGUAUAAGCACAACCGACCCCAUGUGCUAGUAAGUGUCGAGCCUAACCUCGGCAAAGUAGUGACGAGGCUAGGACAAGACUGCCAAAUAAACCUGUGCAGUUAAAUCACAUACAACAAAUAAUAAUAACAGAAACUAGCAGUUAAAGAUGGGAAGAGGAACAUGAUGUGGGGAAGAUCACGUACCAACAGAGUUCCAGUAGAAAAACAUAAAGAACACCAUAAUUCAAUUAUCAACAAGAAUAAGGAAAAUAGUUGUCACACCUCCUUUUUCUACCCCCAAAAAGGGUAUAAGGGAGUUUUUCCUAUUUAAGUGACAAUCGAAACGAGAUUUAUUUAUAUUAAAGUCAGAUUUUCCACUUGGGAUAAUUUAUGGUGUCCUAAGUCACCGGUUGAAAUCUCGAAUUGAGGAAAGUUGACUCUUAUUUAUGGUCUGCGAACACAGAAAUCCGGGUAAGGAAUUCUGUUAACCUGGGAGAAUGUGUCAGGCAUUCCUGAGUUUCGUGGUUUUAGCACGGUUGCUCAACUAUUAUUAUUGGCCUAAUUAUCUAAUUUUAUACGCUUUGAAACCUAUUGUGUAUUUUUAACUCUAUAAGCCGCUUUUAAUUAUUUAAGGAAUUAUUUCAAAGUUAUUUAAAACACAUCGUAAGCCAUGCUUCAUGAAAUGCACCCGUGGUUCAUGAUACAUUCUAUUUAACCAUGUGAAAAAUUAGAAUCGGGUCACAUGAAAUGUACACCCGGGUUUUAAUAAUUACAAAUCACAACUAUGUCACGGGAACCGUACCCGCAGACAUGAUAAUUAUUUAAUUAACGCACCUAAAAUAAACUAGGAAAUUCAUUUUUAGUAUCUAAAUUAUAAUAUUUGCGAGGGCCAUGUGCGAUUUUAAUCAAGACGGCACACCUCAAUCUAUUUUAGAGAAAACCACACUUAAUUUCAUUUUAAAAAAUCUAACUAUGUUUUUACUUACAAAUGGUUUGAACAUAAUAUAACUAUUAGGGCUAGGAAAUGUUAAUCUAAUACGAGUAUGCAUGAGAUAACACAUUGCACAAUUGGUUAUAUAAAAAACCAGUGGACAAGUCCUUGAGAUAAAAGGAUUCGGUGACCAGAUUGCUGAAAUGAAAUGGAAAACUGGGCCCUAGAGAUAGAACCAGAAGGAGUUGGAAAUGGGCCUGGAGCAGGCGAAACCUGAACUGGACCAAGCAGCCUUAUUUAGUCCAUUAAUAGGUCUGUCCACUUCUGAGGAGGGCCACUCAACAUGCAACCCAUGAGGCUCAUAAUGUCAUUUUGCACAAGUUCUAAAAAUCACACAUGAUGAACACUUUAUUCUACAGCCUUCCCAAUUUGUUACUAGGUCAGGAAUGACACAACGUUAAACCUAAACUGUUUACUGAGGCGUUAUGAUCAACCCAAUAAACGUUUCAACCAUAAUGGCAAUUCUAAAGAAUAAUCAUGAUUUGGAUAAUUCACCAUUGACAAAACUUUUGAAAAUGCUUGAACUUAGACUUCAGAAUUUAUAAGAAGAGAGAUAGAUCAUAACAACCAUGCUAUUCAACCUGACUCUCAAAGAAAACAGCCUAAGAAAUGGGCUAAUGACAUUAUAUAGUCAUUUCCUGGGUUUCCAAGUGAGCCCAACACUGGGUUGAGAGUCAUCUCAAAACUAAACAAACUCUAACAUGACUAACAAAAGGGUUCAUUACCUGACUUUAAUUAAUACAUAGAAAAAUCAGACGUUCAGAAAUGAGAAUUAAACUAAUGAAAGAAAUGAGAUGCAGACACAGUGAAAAGUAUACUCAAAACAACCUAAAAGACAAGAUAUAUAAAAGAAAAACAGUAAAAAUAGAGAUGCCUACUGCCUAUUAUAAUAUCAAACCAACAAAGGCUCAAUCCUUGAGCUCAUUAAUAUAAUACCCUAAGCUUAAACAUAUAAUUAAUCUAAUAGUGUUAGACUCAAAGUGACUAAAUUGGUAAUACACAUACAUAUAAUAUGUAAUCCAUAAUUUCCACCACAGUCCCAACAAAUUACAGCUAACACAUUGUUACUAAUUUAAACCUCGAGAAACAUACUAGAAAAAUAGAACCUUUAGUCUAAAUUGAAGCAAAUAGUUACAACACCCAAUAAAUAACAGUUAUCAAAAACGAGAAGAUCUGAAGGUCCAUCUUGAGCCAAACAUAUCAAAACUUCAAUUGUCAUUUCAGGGCUCACUGAUGAUACCUGGAUACAGUAAUAGAAGAAGAACAAAAUUCUGAAGUCAAUCAAAUGAACAAUAGCAGGAGAUCAGCAAUAGAACAGUAGUGAGAUCGAACAAAGAACAACUUCAACACCAGCUAUUUUUAGCUUGAAAACCCAUGAAUCCUCAUGACCACCCUUGAAGUUCUAAGAGGAAAAUCAGAAAGUAAUUCGAAGUCCCCUUUUUCUAGUGUGUUUCAACCCUCAAAAUCUAUAUCAAUGUCUGUAUUUUCAGAAACAUUUGUGCAUAUAUUGAUGCUUUGAAAUCUGUAUUUUUAGAAGAAAAUGUUUUAGCCAUUUUGCUACAUCUUUUAUGCUCUCCUCUCUGCCCUAUAAAAUGAUAAAAAGAUAGUCUUACAGGAAAACCUUAGAGCAGCAUUAUCAAGCUUUCCUCUUUUUUUAAUUCAACCUUUUACCCCUUGUUUUACUUAGUUAUUUUACCCCUUAACCCCUUAAAAAUAUCUGCUCUUCCUUAUCUCUUAACAUGCAAGCCUGCCCUUAUCCUCUAGAAGCUUCUCCCAUAACAGAAAAUAUUCU